rnacentral:rRNA from 1 species
GAUGAACGCUGGCGGCGUGCCUAAUACAUGCAAGUCGAGCGAACAGACGAGAAGCUUGCUCCUCUGACGUUAGCGGCGGACGGGUGAGUAACACGUGGAUAACCUACCUAUAAGACUGGGAUAACUUCGGGAAACCGGAGCUAAUACCGGAUGAUAUUUUGAACCGCAUGGUUCAAUAGUGAAAGACGGUUUUGCUGUCACUUAUAGAUGGAUCCGCGCCGCAUUAGCUAGUUGGUAAGGUAACGGCUUACCAAGGCGACGAUGCGUAGCCGACCUGAGAGGGUGAUCGGCCACACUGGAACUGAGACACGGUCCAGACUCCUACGGGAGGCAGCAGUAGGGAAUCUUCCGCAAUGGGCGAAAGCCUGACGGAGCAACGCCGCGUGAGUGAUGAAGGUCUUCGGAUCGUAAAACUCUGUUAUUAGGGAAGAACAAAUGUGUAAGUAACUGUGCACGUCUUGACGGUACCUAAUCAGAAAGCCACGGCUAACUACGUG